rnacentral:rRNA from 1 species
UACGGAGGGUGCAAACGUUGCUCGGAAUCAUUGGGCGUAAAGCGCACGUAGGUGGCCUGUUAAGUUCAGGGUGAAAGCUCCCGGCUCAACUGGGAGAGGUCCUUGGAUACUGGCAGACUUGAGGGAGGUAGAGGAGAGUGGAAUUCCCGGUGUAGUGGUGAUAUGCGUAGAUAUCGGGAGGAACACCAGUGGCGAAGGCGGCUCUCUGGGCCUUUCCUGACGCUGAGACGCGAAAGCGUGGGGAGCGAACCGG